ensembl:lncRNA
GCCUACACAGUCUGUGGAUAUUAAUAAACUACCUGGCUCAUCUAAAUGUUAAAAUAUCUUCUUUUCUCUCUCUCCAGGGAUCUCCUACUUUUAAAUAGUCUCCUCUUAAAUUCAAGUCAGUUAAUAAAAUAAGGAAACACUGACCUCCAAAAAUGGCCUAGGGGAAAUCACCCUUUACACUGCACUAGGCAAUGGGAAGGAGGGGUAACAUCUACACACCCAGCACGGAGUAGACCGAGGAGGAGCAAACAGAGGCAAGCUGAAAUCAUGUGGAAGAAAUCUCCAAUUUUGUUUUCAAUUUUUUAUUGUGAUAAAACAUACAUACCAUUUGCCAUUUUAACCAUUUUUAAUCACAUGGUUCAGGGUACAUGAAGGUUCAGGUACAUGAAAUAUAUUAACAAUAUUGAGCAACCAUCACCACUGUUCAUUUCCAGAACUUUUCAUUAUCCCAAACAGAAGCUCAGGAUGGAUCAAAGUAUAAUACCUAUUCCUCUUCCCCUUGCUUCUGGUAAUGUCUAUUCUCCUUUUCUUCUCUAUGAAUUUGCCUAUUUCAGGGACCUCACAUAAGUAGGAACAUGUAAUAUCUGCCCUUUUGUGUCUGGCUUAUUUCACUCAGCAUGUUUCCAAGGCUCAACUCUGUUGUAGCAUGUAUUGGAAUUUCAUUCCUGUUUAUGGUUGAAUAAUAUUCCACUGUAUGUACAGACCACAUUGUUUAUCCAUUCAUCUGUGAAUGGACAUCUGGCCUUUUUUCACCUUUUAGAUAUUCUAAAUAAUAUCAGUAUAAACACUGGUAUACAAGUAUCUGUUUGAGUCCCUGCUUUCAGUUAUUUGGGGUACACACUAGGAAUGGAAUUGCUAGGUGAUUCUAUAUUUAACUUUUUGAGAAACCACAAAACUAUUUUCCACAGCAGCUGUACCUUUGGACAUUCCCAACAGCAAUAUAUUAGUGUUCCAAUUCAACAUAUUCAAGUAUUCUCUGAUUCAUUAAUUCAGAUUAACAUUUACCUUUAUUACCCUAAAUUGGAUUUUUUUUUCCUGGUACAAGAAAAACAGAAAAAUGAGGAACAGUAAUAUCUAAUGACUUUUAACAUUUUUCUCUUAAGUGACUUAAAUAAUAUAAAAUGUGUUUUUAAUUUUUUUUCAAUAUAAGAUAAAAAGGAGCAUAAUACCCUAAAAGCAUAUUGAGGAUCCUACAUUUACAACCUGUACCAUAAAAACUGGUCAGUCUGAACUCUAAAAAGUCAAGUAUUUGAAAACCUCAUGUCUGAAUAAGUCGAUAUAAAUAUUUUUAAAUAUUUUUUAAAGAAAUUUACUUUUCUUGGGGCAGUUCACAAAAUACCUGGAACUAAGCUGUCCAGGAAGGCCUUGCUUUAGUAAAAGUAGAAGGGAAAGAUUUAUAAUAAACUUACCUAAAUACCACUGGCAGGCUUUCCACAACUUUGCCCAAUCCCAUAUGGAGGAAGAGAUGGGCAGUUAAAAGCAAUAAUGAUGUUUUUAAGCCUUUAACACCUGCUCUCACCAAUCUGCCAUCAAGUGCUUACAGGAGGAGACAACAAGUAGCAAAACAAAUAACAAUAGAAAACAUUCAAAGCAAAUCAACAGGCAUAUCUGGGACUCUAUUGGUGGGAGUGGGAUGAGAGAUGGGGAGGUGGACAUUUGCUUACUGUUAUGACUUAUUUUGUAUACAAAAAUAUACUUCUAACUAUUCCUAGUUCAUGUGACAGUACUGAAAAAAUUGCCGUUUAUUUCAUGGCAGUCCCACACCUCUAUGAAAAAGCCCAGUAGUAGAACUAUUUUCAACCCAUACUGCAGUUUUACAUUGUUUUCAAGUAAAUUGAUUUUUCCAAGGUGCUUAAAGUGGUUUGUUCUCCCAAUUAAGUAAAUAUUCCUCUUAUGAUCUAUUUAAAUUUGUUACAGUAAAACCUUUUCAUAUAGAGUAGUAAGCCAAACUUUAUCUUAGACUUGCCUGGAUAAUUGCAAAUUCCUAAUUAGUUACAUCCAGAACAAUGAAUUUAUUUUUAACAGAGACCCUCUCCCACCAGCUGUGGAGAAACUGACUGAGCCCCUUAAGAAUAAAUUAAAUCGUGUUAUUUCCUGGGAUUUUAGAAUCUUCCAUUAUGUCUCAAACAUACUACAUUUGCUCAUGUAUGAAGACAAUUUUCCAGAUAGUUAUUUUAACAGAAAGCUUUUCAUAAUUGAACACUUUGAGUCUGUAUUAUAUCAACUUAAUUUAAACAAAUUUUUCUGAUUGGUUGCCUUUAUAAAAAAAAGUUCAUCUUCCAAAAAGUUAAAACAAGGUUUGUAUCAAAAGCCUUUAAUUCUUAUAUAAAUUUAGUUUUAAACAUAGCCUAUAGGUGCUCCAAUUGUUAACAUUUUUCAGAUUUCAGAUAGGAGCAAAGGACUAAAUUGUCACAUCCUGCCCUAGGAGUCUGGUGGCAAACACAGCUCCCUCUACAACAUCUCAAAAAUAUGAGCAAAAGACCCCUGAAGUAAACAGAAAAAUGUCUUGAAUUUGCAAAAAAAGUCAGAACAGCAUAGAAUAUUUCAUUAAGCACCUAGUUUAGAACUCAAUAACUGCCUCCUGAGUAAUAAACAAGUAAAUGAAAUAAAAUUACAUAAUUAUAUUUUAAACUCAAACAUAAUCAUUUAAUACAAGACACAUUUUAAACAGAAACUUACUAGAAUGGCAAAUUAUGCUAGCUUUGGCUCAACACCAUUAAAAUCUUCUCCCUCCAACUAUAUGAAAACUGACAAGUAGUAGUAAUAUUACACAAACAAAAGAUGAGAGGAGCCAGUGACUGAACCGACGGUGAGUUCUGGCAAGGACCUUUCAUUAGCCAAUGAAAUUAUAAUCCAGGUGUUUUUAUAUCUCAACUAGGGACCAAUAAAAGAGAUUCAAGGAUUGAUACAUUUUUAAAUUAAGAAACUUCCCCACCUGUAAUAGAUGAUCACUAUAGUCUUAGCUUACUGGAUUUAUUCUUGGUGGUUUAAAAACCUCCCAACUUCCCCUCUCCUCUAUGGGUUCCAACCCCUACCCCCACAAACCUCUGGUCUCCAGAGACAGAUCCUUGACUCUAAACCCACACCAUAAACAAUCCCCCUCUGGGUAAGCUUGUGACUAGGGACCUGCUUCUCAUUGGCUGUACCUUGCAAACAGUUCAAGUACGUGCGUGCUCAGUCCAACUCUUCGCAACCCCAUGAACUGCAGCCCUCCAGGCUGCAGUCCAUGGGGUCACUAAGAGUCGGACACGACUGAGCGACUUCCCUUUCACUUUUCACUUUCAUGCAUUGGAGAAGGAAAUGGCAACCCACUCCAGUGUUCUUGCCUGGAGAAUCCCAGGGACGGGGGAGCCUGGUGGGCUGCCGUCUCUGGGGUCACACAGAGUCAGACAUGACUGAAGCAACUUAGCAGCAGCAGCAGCAAGAUACCAUACAGGGACUGAACCCCAUGCCUCUAUCAUUCAAUUUUGGAAAUUCCUCUAGGAGACUGUCGUUCUUCCCCUCCACCUUAAGAAUGAUUCUGAAUCAAGCUGACUGUCUUGUCCACUUCAGCAGUGCCAACCAGCUAUGGACCACAUGUAAGGAAAUACAACUUUUGAGAGGUCACAAAUCAACUACGGCAUUAGGAAUAUGGAGAAAAUAAAAUUUCAAUCUUUAGAUUGAAAUUCAUCACAAAUAAAAAAAAUGAAUCAUUUUUCAAAGUGUCCAAACACGAUUUGGAGGUCUCUGAAAACAUGCAAACUAAUUCCCUAAGAACAACUCAGUUUUUAAACUUUGCAAUGUAAUAAACUAUGGAGUUUGUGCAAGGCUUUGCUAAACACUGUUCAAUACACUGACUCAUAUUAACCCCUUGUGACAACCACUUGAAAAAUGGUACAGGUAAGAUGUUUUCUCCUUAUACUAAAAUGAAGAAACAGACUAACAGAGUUUCAGAAAUCUAUCAAGGACACACAGCUAAGAAGUAAAUUAAGUCCCUGACAGACUAUUCUGAUUUCAAACUGAUACUCAGAUGUGGCCCUCACUAGGGGAUAUAAGAUUUGGGAGGCCCAUGAGAUCUCUAAUCUUUGCCUAUCAUUUCAAUAUCUUUUAAAUUAUGUCUCAUUUGUAUUAAGCACCUUGAUGUCCAAAAUAUGGAACUAUGCAUCCUGAGUUAAAUCAUGUUUCCAGUAUUUGUCACGAUCACAAGAACACCAUAAUCCUAUUUAUAACAUGAUUCUUAUGUUGGUUCUUUGACAAUAACUAUGAUCCCAAUAGUCAGGAAAGGGUAUAGAAAGGUUUUUCAGCUAUCUGAAUGGUCUAAUUAACUGAUGCCUCACCUUUAGUUGAAUUUACAAUUUUCAGAGAUGGAGGCCACACAAUUCACACAACACUAAAAUAAUAUAGAACAAUUUAAAGCUGACUUACUAGUGUCUUUCAGAAUCACAUUAAUACUCUAGGGUCAGGAUUAUGAACUGCAAUUAUCCCUGAGCAAUACAAUAACUAUGAAAGAUAGAGCAGCUUCAGAUACAUUUAUAACGAAUCUAGAAGUUACUGUUUUUAAAAUUCUAAUAAAAGAUUAUUUUGUCAUCUGUCUUUUCCUGAAAGCAGUAGGCAAAAAAAAAAAAAAAAAAGGAAAGAAAAAGGUAUUGGGUUAUUGGAUAUUUAUGGAUGAAAUCCAGAUAAAUGAAUGCUUAUUUUAACAUGAGUUGGAAUUUUCACUUUCAUAUAUUAAUAAAAUAAAGUUGUUGAAAUUCCUUCUACCAAAUAAAUUCUAAAAUGCAAAAGAUUUAAAUUAAAUCCACUUAUCAGAAAACUAUUUGACCAUAUGCCACCAAGAGAAUCUUCCUUUGGUAGUAAAGCAAUGAUUUUAAUUCUUCAGAUUAAUCAUGCAGCUAGAUGAGGAAAGUGAAUGCUGAUUUGGUUAUAUUAUUUACCUGAAUGAACACAUUUGAAAAAAAUCACCCAAUGAACAGGUAAAUGGAUACUGGGAGUAGUUUUUUUCAACUUAUUAGUGAUUUUUUCAUACCAUUCCCUACUUAUACUCCUUUAUUAUACUGAAAAUAACCAACAAUUCCUAUAAGCAGUUAUUUCAAUCAAACAGAAAAUGUCAUUUAAAGUUUUUGUCUAUCAGUUUUUACUAUGACAGGCAAGUAUUUUUAAAACAAUUAUUUGCUUGUUUUUGAGCUACAGGUAAUCUGGUAUUUGAAUUCCACUUAACAACUAAAUCUAAGCAUCUUCUGGUGGUAUGGAAGAAAGCAAACUGAACUAGGCAAUCUUAAAAAGGAAUGGGAUCCAGUUAAACAUAAAUAGAUUUGAGAGAAAGUUCCUCUUUACAGUCCCCAAAAUCGGGGUACCUAACCACUAGCCACAAGUAGCAGUUUAAAAUAAUUAAAAGUAAAUACAAUUUAAAAUGUAGUUCUUCUACGAACAGGCCACAUUUUAAAUGGUACAACAGUUACACGUGCCUGGUGACUGCCAUACUGGACAGCAGAGAUAUAAAACCAAUUUCAUCACCAAAGAAAAUUCUAUGUGAUCUUGUGCAAGUUGCUAAAUUUCUAUGAACCUCAAUGCCUUGUCUAUAAAAUGUCCUUAACAUCACCUAAAUUGAAAGACUAUUAGAAUUUUAAUGAGAUAAUGUUAAAAAAAAAAAAACAACCCACCACUAUAUGCAGUACUUAGUACACAUUAGAUAUCCAAAAGAGUAAUUAUUAAUCUAGUAUUGCAUUUUAAUCUAAAAUCACAAACACGGAACAAGUCAUUCCCCCUCACUGGGCCUCAUUUUCCUAAAACUGAAAAGUUGGGAGGUUCUUCAGGUUUUCAGUUCUAAGGACACUAUCAAAUGUCGCCACUUUAAAUGAAAUGUUAGGCAAAACUCCUACUGAGUAAACUACUACCUAGGCUCCUAGAGCCAGCUUCCUAACUGAUCCCAACCAUUCCUCCAGAAACCCCAGAAGACUGACUCUCCAAUAUAGCCCAUGGUCUGACGUGAGCUAUUUAUAAAGUCUGUCUUAAAAGGUUACUGGAAUAUCUUUCUGAAAUUGUACAUACUGUAAUUAGAAGCUACAACCUCCUAUCCCAUGAUGAUAUCUUACAGUUUUAAGAUCUCUUUUAAAAUGAACACUAUCUUUAUGUAGAAUUCUUUUCUCUUAGGAGCAUAUAAACCAAAACAUUUUAAAAGCGCCUAGGAAUUUAAGUACCAUUUUUUAGUGACUUUUUCUUUCUACCAAGUAUGCCUCAUUCUUGGCCAGCUUGUGCGUGACCCUCUCGUGUCUAAACAAAGUGAGAAUUUCCGUAUGGUGGAGGGAGGCGAGUGACCUUACAGGUGAGGUUCCUUUGCAGGACCAGAAAGCAAGCCCAAAGACUUUACCGUCAUUAACAGCCGCUCCCGGAGAGCCAGGAAAUUUACAAAACGCCGGUUCCACAGAGGCCGCUUCCAACCAGGGGAAACCACUGGCCCCCAUACAAGGCACAAAACCAGGGCUACAGGCUGCUCUUGGCGUGGCUGCAUGGGCUCUUCCCCCGGGCGUAGUCCCGGCCCCGUGUCACAGCUCUAACUUGAGAGUAAAGAGCAGCUCAGGCAGUAGAACAGAGCAUUUUUGCCAGAGGCCAGAAGCCUCAAAAAAAAAAAAAAGUGUUAUUCCAGAGCAGAUUCCUUUUCUUCCGGGUCUGUCUGCUCCCUCUGACUCUUUGCCCACAACCACCGUGCCUCCCCUUUCCCAAUGCCCCACCUCUCUCCACAUUAAAAAAAAGAAGAAAAAAAAAAAGGUGGCGUAUUCCCUCUUCCUUAGCUUUCCCUACGAGAGCCUGGAAACUGGAGGAAAUUCAAAUCAAAUUAACUGCACAUCAAAAAAUAAACAGACAAGCAAUCAAGGGGGGUGCCCACCCAACAAAAGACCUCGCCCGUUCCAAAAUAUGAUUAAGCCUGGGUGGAAGAGGGGGAGGGAGACUAGAAACCAACAAGGAUGGAGAGAUCAACGUAUGAAUCUGCGGCCCCGGCUUCGGCCCACUGCGGCCAAAUUCCAAAUCUUGUUUCAAGAACGUGCUGGACUGAUGAGAAAAAAAUUAAAAGUUUUAACUUUUAAGGCAGUCCGCAAACGGUACUGUCUAGAUAAAAUGCCAUCGCUUCCCUUAGUCAAAGAUAGAAGGGUGGGAGUUGAGAUUCGAAAAGCUCCAACUCCAACCGCGCACUCCUGGAAGCCUCCCCGCCAACGGCGCCGCCGGGCGGCCCUGCCCCGUCUCCGGGGACAUCAGGCCCGGGUGCUCGGGCUCUUACGGGGCGCGGGGACCGGACCUUUGGGAAAGUUCGCGGGCACAGCCCGAGGCCCCACUUUCCGCCCGGAGUGACAAGCCCUUCCCACGCCGGCCGGCCCCCGCCCAGCCGCGGGCACCAGACGGUCCGCGCGGCCCCUCCCGGCCGCCUCGGGGCG